CCUACGGGAUGCAGCAGUGAGGAAUAUUGGUCAAUGGACGAGAGUCUGAACCAGCCAAGUAGCGUGAAGGAUGACUGCCCUAUGGGUUGUAAACUUCUUUUAUAUGGGAAUAAAAUGAUCCACGUGUGGGAUUUUGUAUGUACCAUAUGAAUAAGGAUCGGCUAACUCCGUGCCAGCAGCCGCGGUAAUACGGAGGAUCCGAGCGUUAUCCGGAUUUAUUGGGGUUAAAGGGAGCGUAGGUGGAUUGUUAAGUCAGUUGUGAAAGUUUGCGGCUCAACCGUAAAAUUGCAGUUGAAACUGGCAGUCUUGAGUACAGUAGAGGUGGGCGGAAUUCGUGGUGUAGCGGUGAAAUGCUUAGAUAUCACGAAGAACUCCGAUUGCGAAGGCAGUUCACUGGACUGCAACUGACACUGAGGCUCGAAAGUGUGGGUAUCAAACAGGAUUAGAUACCCUAGUAGUC
rnacentral:rRNA from 1 species